rnacentral:rRNA from 1 species
UACGAAGGGGGCUAGCGUUGUUCGGAAUUACUGGGCGUAAAGGGUGCGUAGGCGGUGCUCUAAGUCGGAUGUGAAAACUCUGGGCUCAACCCAGAGCCUGCAUCCGAAACUGGAGUGCUGAGAGUUCUGGAGGGGGUAGCGGAAGUUCCUGGAUGUGAGCGGUGAAUGCGUAGAUAGUCAGGAGGAACACCGGUGGCGAAGGCGGCCUGCUGGGGCAGUUG